UGCGAAGGCAAGCGGAUCUCUUAAAGCUGUUCUCAGUUCGGACUGCAGUCUGCAACUCGGCUGCAUGAAGCUGGAAUCGCUAGUAAUCGCAGAUCAGAAUGCUGCGGUGAAUACGUUCCCGGGUCUUGUACACACCGCCCGUCACACCAUGGGAGUUGGAAAUGCCCGAAGUCAGUGACCGAACCGAAAGGAAGGAGCUGCCGAAGGUGGAGCCGAUGACUGGGGUGAAGUCGUAACAAGGUAUC
rnacentral:rRNA from 1 species